rnacentral:tRNA from 1 species
AAGUUUGAAGCAAAUAGCAAUUAGUUUCGACCUAAUAAUUGGUGUUAAAAUCACCCAAACUUA